rnacentral:lncRNA from 1 species
UUUAUAUAUUUUUUAAGCUAAAUUAUAAAAAAUUUAUAUAUCAAGCUUUUUCAUUUUUACCUCCUGUUAUUUAAAUACCUACACUUUAUUUUCUUAAAAAAUAAAAAAUAUUCACAAAAAAUACGCUGUGACAAAAUAACCAAAUUAUCUCUUAUCUUCUUCGGAGUGGAUAUGGACGGAGAGGUGGGCGAUGGCGAGGGCGAGGGUGAGGCGGCGGAGGCGUGUGAGGGCGUGUAUGUGGGCAUGGACAGAGAGGUAUGUGAGGGCGAGGAUGAGAAAAAACGAGAGUUUCAAGGAUAUUUUGGGUAUAAAAAAUAGAAUAUAAACGGAAUCCUAACGAAACACCGGCGGCAGGAUCUAAGUGAAUAUUUUUCAUUUUUAAAGGAUAAAGUAUAGAUUUUUGAAUGAUAUGAGAAUAAAGCGAAAAAACAGAUAUUGACAGGAAUUUUUUUUUUUUUUGUAAUUUAUCAUAUUUUUUAUUU